AGCGAACGCUGGCGGCAGGCCUAACACAUGCAAGUCGAACGCCCCUUCGGGGGAGUGGCGGCCGGGUGAGUAACGCGUGGGCAUGUGCCCUUUGGUACGGAACAACUGAGGGAAACUUCCGCUAAUACCGUAUGUGCCCUACGGGGGAAAGAUUUAUCGCCAUUGGAGCAGCCCGCGUUGGAUUAGGUAGUUGGUGGGGUAAUGGCCCACCAAGCCGACGAUCCAUAGCUGGUCUGAGAGGAUGAUCAGCCACACUGGGACUGAGACACGGCCCAGACUCCUACGGGAGGCAGCAGUGGGGAAUCUUGCGCAAUGGGCGAAAGCCUGACGCAGCCAUGCCGCGUGAAUGAUGAAGGUCUUAGGAUUGUAAAAUUCUUUCACCGGGGAAGAUAAUGACGGUACCCGGAGAAGAAGCCCCGGCUAACUUCGUG
rnacentral:rRNA from 1 species